CAAAUUAAGCCAUGAAAACUAGAUCUUCUGAAUAGCAAUAAGCUUGUUGAAGAGUUUAGGAGUUUUCUUUGCCCUUUAAUUCAACUCAAUGGAAGCAACGAAAGAACUUGUAUCUCCAAUUCCAUGCGAUGAUGGACACCUUGUUACCGUUCUUAGUAUUGAUGGGGGUGGCAUUCGGGGAAUCAUUCCAGGAAUUAUACUUGGCUUCCUCGAAUCAGAACUUCAGAAGCUAGAUGGAGACCAUGUAAGAUUGGCAGAUUACUUUGAUGUGAUUGCGGGAACAAGUACUGGAGGAUUAGUGACUGCAAUGCUCACUGCUCCAAAUGAAAAUAACCGACCCUUGUAUGCAGCCAAGGAUAUUAAGAAUUUCUACCUUGAGCAUACCCCAAAAAUCUUCCCACAAAAUAAGUGCUGGAAUUUAUUCUCAUCUAUGGUGAAGUUCACAAGAACUCUGUUUGGACCACAAUACAACGGCAAGUACUUACACAGGCUUAUUAGGGAAAAAUUAGGAGAAACAAAAUUGCACCAAACUUUGACCAAUGUCGUCAUCCCAGCAUUUGACAUCAAGCGCCUUCAACCUACCAUCUUUUCCAGCUUCCAGCUGAAGAAGAGGCCAGAUUUGAAUGCAUCGUUGUCUGAUAUAUGCAUUUCAACUUCGGCAGCUCCAACAUAUCUUCCAGCUCAUUCCUUUGAAACCAAAACCCACCACGGUGUCAGCAAAUUCGACCUUAUAGACGGUGGCGUUGCUGCAAAUAACCCGGCACUGGUGGCCAUGGCAGAAGUUACGAACUAAAUAUGUCAUGAAGGGCCAUGUGAUAGCUUAAAUGUGGAACCGAUGCAAUACGACAAGUUUUUGGUGAUAUCAUUGGGAACAGGUUCUCAGAAACAAGAAAUGAAAUACAGUGCUCUUGAAGCAGCUCAAUGGGGUAUCUUGAGUUGGGUAACCACAGCCAAUGGUGGCACCCCUUUGAUUGAUGCAUUUAGUCAAGCCAGUGCUGACAUGGUUGACUUUCAUAUCUCUUCCCUUGUUCGUGCACUCAAUUCUGAGCAUAACUACCUCCGAAUCCAGGACGAUACAUUAAUUGGGGACAUGUCUUCUGUUGACAUGGCUACGGAGAAGAAUUUGAAUGAUCUCGUCAAAGUUGGGGAGUCAUUAUUAAAGAAGCCGGUUUCAAAGGUUAACUUGAAGACGGGCGUUUAUGAACCUGUUAAAUCUUAUGAAACAAACGAAGAAGCCUUGAAGGGGUUUGCGGAACGACUAUCCAAACAGAAGCAAUUUCGUAAAUCUCAAAUGUCCGCUAAUGCAAAUCCUUGAACGUUGAAAGGAUAACUAGUUGUAUUAAUCACUAUCAGUGUAAUAUUAUGGUUGAUGUUAUAUAUAUAUUAACGAGGUGCCAUCAUCAUCACCCUGGUUUUUUCAUCCUUA